AGUGGAAUUGCUGGGUCAUAUGGUAAGUCUAUGUUUAGCUUUUUGAGAAACUGCCAAACUGUUUUCCAUAGCAGCUGCACCAUUUCAUAUUCCUACUAGUAAU
rnacentral:pre_miRNA from 1 species